UACGUAGGGGGCUAGCGUUGUCCGGAAUCAUUGGGCGUAAAGCGCGUGUAGGCGGUUCGGUAAGUCCGCUGUGAAAGUCGGGGGCUCAACCCUCGAAUGCCGGUGGAUACUGUCGGACUAGAGUACGGAAGAGGCGAGUGGAAUUCCUGGUGUAGCAGUGAAAUGCGUAGAUAUCAGGAGGAAUACCGAUGGCGAAGGCAGGUCUCUGGGCUGACACUGACGCUCAUGCACGAAAGCGUGGGGAGCAAACAGG
rnacentral:rRNA from 1 species